rnacentral:rRNA from 1 species
GGGUUGUGAGGUUAAGCGACUAAGCGUACACGGUGGAUGCCCUGGCAGUCAGAGGCGAUGAAGGGCGUGCUAAUCUGCGAUAAGCGCCGGUAAGGUGAUAUGAACCGUUAUAACCGGCGAUACCCGAAUGGGGAAACCCAGUGUGACUCGUCACACUAUCAUUAACUGAAUCCAUAGGUUAAUGAGGCGAACCGGGGGAACUGAAACAUCUAAGUACCCCGAGGAAAAGAAAUCAACCGAGAUUCCCCCAGUAGCGGCGAGCGAACGGGGAGGAGCCCAGAGCCUGAAUCAGCAUGUGUGUUAGUGGAAGCGUCUGGAAAGGCGCGCGAUACAGGGUGACAGCCCCGUACACAAAAGCGCAUGUGCUGUGAGCUCGAUGAGUAGGGCGGGACACGUGGUAUCCUGUCUGAAUAUGGGGGGACCAUCCUCCAAGGCUAAAUACUCCUGACUGACCGAUAGUGAACCAGUACCGUGAGGGAAAGGCGAAAAGAACCCCGGCGAGGGGAGUGAAAAAGAACCUGAAACCGUGUACGUACAAGCAGUGGGAGCCCCACCACUAAGCCAGUGGUGAACUCCACAUACGCAUCCUUUGCUGAGGAUACGGUUAACGGAGCGAAAGCGACGUUCAACCGCAAAACAAGCAGAGGGGGCUUAGUGGUGGGGUGACUGCGUACCUUUUGUAUAAUGGGUCAGC